rnacentral:rRNA from 1 species
CACGCAGGCGGUGCGGCGCGUUUCGCGUGACAGCGGGGGGCUUAACUCCCCGAGGGUGCGAAAGACGGCCGCACUUGAAGGCCAGAGAGGGACACGGAAUUCCGGGUGGAGUGGUGAAAUGCGUAGAGAUCCGGAGGAACACCGAAGGCGAAGGCAGUGUCCUGGCUGGUGACUGACGCUAAGGUGCGAAAGCCAGGGGAGCGAACGGGAUUAGAUACCCCGGUAGUCCUGGCCGUAAGCGAUGACUACCAGGUGUGGGAGGGAUCGACCCCUUCUGUGCCGCAGUUAACACACUAAGUGGUCCGCCUGGGGAGUACGGUCGCAAGAUUAAAA